GACGAACGCUGGCGGCGUGCUUAACACAUGCAAGUCGAACGCUGAAGCUUGGUGCUUGCACUGGGUGGAUGAGUGGCGAACGGGUGAGUAAUACGUGAGUAACCUGCCCUUGACUCUGGGAUAAGCCUGGGAAACUGGGCCCAAUACUGGAUACGACAUAUCACCGCAUGGUGGUGUGUGGAAAGGGUUUUACUGGUUUUGGAUGGGCUCACGGCCUAUCAGCUUGUUGGUGGGGUAAUGGCUCACCAAGGCGACGACGGGUAGCCGGCCUGAGAGGGUGACCGGCCACACUGGGACUGAGACACGGCCCAGACUCCUACGGGAGGCAGCAGUGGGGAAUAUUGCACAAUGGGCGGAAGCCUGAUGCAGCGACGCCGCGUGAGGGAUGACGGCCUUCGGGUUGUAAACCUCUUUCAGCACGGAAGAAGCGAAAGUGACGGUACGUGCAGAAGAAGCGCCGGCUAACUACGUG
rnacentral:rRNA from 1 species